CUUUAAAAACGCAAUUAUUCAGAGUGAGUCAGUCUCAGCUCAGUAGAUUCACAGAACACAGAGUUCCAAAUGAUUGUUCUUUGGGACAAUCGUCACGAAUCCACUGUGUGAUGCUUUUGUGUUAUGUGUCGUGUUUUGAAAUGGAAAUUUUAUUACAAUUUUCAAACUUUUUUAUUUUUUAGUGGACUUUUUAUUUUUGAGGUUAUGGUUGGUUAUACAUUUUCUCAAGUCUUCGAGAUGAGAUGACGUAUGACGUUUCCAGAGAAUCAGCUGCUUCACCCGGCAUCGGAGUGAAUUUAAAUUAAAUGAAUUUAGAAAAAUGAACUUUUUUCGGCGUUGCACAGUGGGCGGUAGAAGUAAAGACUCAAUAUUCUUUUUGUGGUUUGAGAAUUUUUAAAGCAAAAGUAAGGUUUUGUAUGGAAAAAUCAGAUUAAGCCAGCUUUUUAUGAAAGGUUUCUAAUAGUAACUUUAAAUUGAAGGUAUAAUAUUGUGGAAGUUGCUGAAUUUAUUAAAAAUAAUGUUGAUGAUGUAUUCACAUUUAAAAGUAUUGUUGUUGCAAACAAAUUGUAAUGGUUCCCAUUAUCAAGUUUUCUGGCAACAACGACAUUCCAAGCUUUGAGGGAAUAAUAAGCUGCUUUGAACCUAACAGUCUUUAAUUAUUUAAUUUAAUAGAAUUCGCUAAACAGAUGAAUAGUUAUACAUUGCAUUAGGAUUUAUGUAGGAUCUAUGUAACGUUGCGAAAUUUACCAUUUAUAAUAAAUUCUGCUAUAAAUUUAGGUCAAAAAAAAUAA